rnacentral:rRNA from 1 species
GAUGAACGCUGGCUACAGGCUUAACACAUGCAAGUCGAGGGGAAACGACGGGGAAGCUUGCUUCCCCGGGCGUCGACCGGCGCACGGGUGAGUAACGCGUAUCCAACCUGCCUCUGACUGGGGGAUAACCCGUCGAAAGUCGGCCUAAUACCUCAUGGCAUCGUCUGCGGGCAUCCAACGACGAUUAAAGAUUUCAUCGGUCAGAGAUGGGGAUGCGUCUGAUUAGCUUGUUGGCGGGGUAACGGCCCACCAAGGCGAGGAUCAGUAGGGGUUCUGAGAGGAAGGUCCCCCACAGUGGAACUGAGACACGGGCCAAACUCCUACGGGAGGCAGCAGUGAGGAAUAUUGGUCAAUGGGCGAGAGCCUGAACCAGCUAAGUAGCGUGCAGGAUGACGGCCCUAUGGGUUGUAAACUGCUUUUAUGCGGGGAUAAAGUGAGGGACGUGUCCUUCAUUGCAGGUACCGCAUGAAUAAGGACCGGCUAAUUCCGUG